CCUACGGGAGGCAGCAGUGGGGAAUAUUGCACAAUGGGCGAAAGCCUGAUGCAGCAACGCCGCGUGAGCGAUGAAGGACUUCGGGUCGUAAAGCUCUGUCCUCAAGGAAGAUAAUGACGGUACUUGAGGAAGAAGCCCCGGCUAACUACGUGCCAGCAGCCGCGGUAAUACGUAGGGGGCUAGCGUUAUCCGGAAUUACUGGGCGUAAAGGGGGCGUAGGUGGUUUCUUAAGUCAGAGGUGAAAGGCUACGGCUAAACCGUAGUAAGCCUUUGAAACUGGGGAACUUGAGUGCAGGAGAGGAGAGUGGAAUUCCUAGUGUAGCGGUGAAAUGCGUAGAUAUUAGGAGGAACACCAGUGGCGAAGGCGGCUUGCUGGACAGUAACUGACGCUGAGGCACGAAAGCGUGGGGAGCAAACAGGAUUAGAUACCCCAGUAGUC
rnacentral:rRNA from 1 species